rnacentral:piRNA from 1 species
UAAAUCUGUUUCUCAAGGAUCCAGUUAUGC